GUCUAUGGCCAUACCACCCUGAAUAUGCCCGAUCUUGUCUGAUAUUGGAAGCUAAGUAGGUUCGGGUCUGGUUAGUACUUGGACGGGAGAAAAGAGAUGGGGACA
rnacentral:rRNA from 1 species